rnacentral:lncRNA from 1 species
AUGACACUGAAUCCAUGGAAGCAAGUGAAAACCACUGUGAAUGGUCUACCGCAGCGUAUCCAGCUGAGUGCCAUCAACUUCACACUGAAGUUGGAGAAAGGCAGGAAGCCUCGGAAGUGGGCUGACGCGAUCAGGAAGACCCCAGGGAGCAGAGGUCUCGAAGAUGAGUUGGCUGAGGAGAAAGAGGAAAGAUUCCAGCACGGUGGGAAGCAAAUGAGCUGCAACCCCUUGGGACUGGCACAUCAGCAGAGAGACCAGACUGGCCCCCUAAAUAAUUAUAGCAAAAUAGGGUACGGCAAAGGACCCCAAAGGACUCUCCCCAGGGAUGGCCCAGCUCCUGCAGGACUCCUUGUGGCACAGGUGGUAACAAGAAAGGUCCAGGGAAGCAAAAGGGGGUUACAGGAGCUGGGGGUGCUGGCUACGGGAGCGGGGAAGGGCAGCUGCAGGGGAGGAAGAGGGAAAGGCUAAGCAGGGAUGGACAGAGAGCCAGGAGGGACCAAAUGGCUCUCAGCCCCAAUGGAGACCAACAACUGACUGGAGCGAUGCAUGGGGGCACACGCUUAUAGUCCCAGCUGCUUGGGA